GGGUGAGUAACGCGUGGAUAAUCUACCCAGAUGUUCGGGAUAACGGCGGGAAACUGCCGCUAAUACCGGAUACGAUCCAAUUUCGGUUGGGUGAAAGGCGGCCUCUGUUUACAAGCUGUCGCAUCUGGAUGAGUCCGCGUCCCAUUAGCUUGUUGGUGGGGUAAUGGCCUACCAAGGCGACGAUGGGUAGCUGGUCUGAGAGGAUGAUCAGCCACACUGGAACUGAAACACGGUCCAGACUCCUACGGGAGGCAGCAGUGGGGAAUAUUGCGCAAUGGGGGAAACCCUGACGCAGCGACGCCGUGUGAGGGAAGAAGGCUUUCGGGUCGUAAACCUCUGUCGGGAGGGAAGAACCUUCCAGGCCUGAAUAAGUCCUGGAACUGACGGUACCUCCAAAGGAAGCACCGGCUAACUCCGUGCCAGCAGCCGCGGUAAUACGGAGGGUGCAAGCGUUAAUCGGAAUCACUGGGCGUAAAGCGCGCGUAGGCGGUCUUUUAAGUCGGACGUGAAAGCCCUCGGCUCAACCGGGGAACUGCGUUCGAAACUGGGAGACUUGAGUCCUGGAGAGGGUGGCGGAAUUCCGGGUGUAGGAGUGAAAUCCGUAGAUAUCCGGAGGAACACCGGUGGCGAANGCGGCCACCUGGACAGGUACUGACGCUGAGGCGCGAAAGCGUGGGGAG
rnacentral:rRNA from 1 species